GGUAAUUCCAGCUCCAAUAGCGUAUAUUAAAAUUGUUGCAGUUAAAAAGCUCGUAGUUGAAUUUCUGCUGCAUUGCUUGUGUCCCUCUGGGGUCUGUGCAUGUGGCUUUUUUCGGACGGAGUUUCUUUGUCUGAAUGUUUACUUUGAGAAAAUUAGAGUGCUCAAAGCAGGCUUUCGCCUUGAAUAGUUUAGCAUGGAAUAAUAAAGUAGGACUUUGGUUCUAUUUUGUUGGUUUUAGGUACCAAAGUAAUGGUUAAUAGGAACAGUUGGGGGCAUUCGUAUUUAACUGUCAGAGGUGAAAUUCUUAGAUUUGUUAAAGACGAACUACUGCGAAAGCAUUUGCCAAGGAUGUUUUCAUUAAUCAAGAACGAAAGUUAGGGGAUCGAAGACGAUCAGAUACCGUCGUAGUCCUAACCAUAAACUAUGCCGACUAGAGAUUGGAGGUCGUCAGUUUUUACGAC
rnacentral:rRNA from 1 species